rnacentral:rRNA from 1 species
GACGAACGCUGGCGGCGUGCUUAACACAUGCAAGUCGAACGGAAAGGCCCUGCUUUUGUGGGGUGCUCGAGUGGCGAACGGGUGAGUAACACGUGAGUAACCUGCCCUUGACUUUGGGAUAACUUCAGGAAACUGGGGCUAAUACCGGAUAGGAGCUCCUGCUGCAUGGUGGGGGUUGGAAAGUUUCGGCGGGUGGGGAUGGACUCGCGGCUUAUCAGCUUGUUGGUGGGGUAGUGGCUUACCAAGGCUUUGACGGGUAGCCGGCCUGAGAGGGUGACCGGCCACAUUGGGACUGAGAUACGGCCCAGUCUCCUACGGGGGGCAGCGGUGGGGAAUAUUGCACAAUGGGCGGAAGCCUGAUGCAGCAGCGCCGCGUGCGGGAUGACGGCCUUCGGGUUGUAAACCGCUUUCGCCUGUGACGAAGCGUGAGUGACGGUAAUGGGUGAAGAAGCACCGGCUAACUACGUG